rfam:Capnocytophaga ochracea DSM 7271, complete genome.
UAACAAGAGGACAAAUUUGUACUGAUUGCAACCUCUUGGGGUACUCCCCGAAAAAUGCUAAAACAGUAAUC